rnacentral:lncRNA from 1 species
GUUUAAGCUAGAAAGCUAGGGAGCGGCUUUCACAAUCCAUUCUAUGAAACAUAGAGUAGAGAAGACCAAAUCUUAUUUCAACUGUAAGAUGAAAUACUUUUCUUUAUGCUUACCCUUCUUGACCAUUUCUCCUAAGCCACCUCAGAAACCCCAUGUAUUAGAUAGACAAAAUGUUGAUUUUGGGCUUAAGUCCAACUGAGCGACCUGUAACGUUCUUUUGGAGGAUACCUUGCUUUAUGCACUGUGAGCGACCUGUUAUACUUAAUACUUCUUAGGCUAACAAGCUUCAUUUGGACACUCCCCUAUAGUUCCAUCAGACACAUUUCCUUUCACACACACACGUUUAAUUAUAUUAGUUAUAUGUAACAGUGAGGCAUCUUAGAUCCUAAGGAUGCUCCAUAAUAAAGAGAGAGAGAUGUUAUCCCUUCUCUCUCUAGAACUUUUCUCCACAACCCUUUAGGUUUUGGCGGCCGCCUCUCACAUUUAUGGUGGUUUUCCUCUCCCGCACUUAUAGUGGUUACCCCCUCCUCCAUUGAAAGUACUAUCCACUCCUUUCAACUUCACUCACAUGCUCUCACCACAACAAACUCACUCUUCGAUUACCCCCUUUCUCCACUUUAAACCACCACCAACCAUCUCUUUUUAUAUCUAUGGCGACCACCUGAGCCACCACCACCAACAAGAAAUGGAUAAUUUGCAAUGGUAGGUUUUCACAUCUCAAGCUUAACAACGAUGAAGGUACCUCUCCUCCGUGUAGCUGAUCUUUCACCUCCAAUGUCGACAACCAAUCGUCUACCUCCAAAGCCACCAUGGAUACUCUACACCUUGCAACCUAUGUCAGAUUUGUUUAAUCCUGCUUAUGUUUAUGUACUGUUUUCAUCCAUUAAUCUUCGAACAUUCGAUAAAAAUGGAUAAUAUUGAGAACAAAGAUAGUUGAAACAUGCAAACACAAGUAAAAGAAAUCAUCUGUAACUGGAUUUGAAAAAAGACCGAGGAUUCUCUUUUCUAUCUUGCCAUUUAUCGUGCUCACAAGAGAUUGGUUGAAUCAAUGAUAAGUUGUUGCUUUUGUUUAUGGUGUGUUUAUGUCUUAUUAGCUUGUGAACAUUCUAUUCUAUGUGUAUCGUCUUUUAUGAUUAUGUAGGUUUUUGUUUAGAUUUGUCUCUAGAUUAUGGAUGGGGUAUGUCCCAUUUCAAGUGUCCUUUGAGAUUUGUAUUAUUUGUGUUCUCUUAAUCUAAUGAAUGUAUUAACUUAAAAAAAACAAUGAGGUGUCUUAAUUGAUUAGGGAUUAAAUUAAGUAAUAAGACUAAUUAGAUUUUCAAUUGAAUAAUUA